GACGAACGCUGGCGGCGUGCUUAACACAUGCAAGUCGAACGGAAAGGCCUGCUUUCCCUUGUGGAUUGCGGGUGCUCGAGUGGCGAACGGGUGAGUAACACGUGAGUGAUCUGCCCCCAACUUGGGUAUAAGCCUGGGAAACUGGGUCUAAUUCCCGAUAGGACUGCAGGGUGGUGCCUGUGGUGGAAAACGAUUUUCUAGUGGUUGGGGAUGAGCUCGCGGCCUAUCAGCUUGUUGGUGGGGUAAUGGCCUACCAAGGCGGCGACGGGUAGCCGGCCUGAGAGGGUGGACGGCGACAUUGAGACUGAGAUACGGCCCAGACUCCUACGGGAGGCAGCAGUGGGGAAUAUUGCACAAUGGGCGGAAGCCUGAUGCAGCGACGCCGCGUGGGGGAUGACGGCCUUCGGGUGGUAAACUCCUUUCGACCGAGAGGAAGCCACCUGGUUGGAAGGGUGGUGACGGUAGUGGUAGAAGAAGCACCGGCUAACUACGUG
rnacentral:rRNA from 1 species